UCACCUAAUCAUGACCCCAUUCUCUUCCUCAUCCUUUCUCCUCCCCCUCAUCCCUUCUUACUCCUCAUUAUCAUCCUUCCUCAUCAUCAUCUCUAUUCCUCCUCAUCUCUACUCCUCCUCCUCAUCUCUUCUCCUCCUCUUCCUCACCAUCCCUUCUCAUUGUCAUCCCUUCUCUUCCUCUUCAUCACUAUCCUUUCUCCUAUUCAUGACUCCAUUCUCAUCAUCCUUUCUUUUCCUCCUCACCCCUUCUCCUCAUCCCUUCUCCUCAUCAUCACUUCUUCUCCUCAUCCCUUCUCCUCAACAUUAUCCCUUCUCCUCUUCCUUCAUCUUUCAAGUUUGACCCAGAAAAUAUUUCAGCACAAUAUUACAAGAGAAAAAUGUGGACAAGAAAAAUGUUCAUCUGAUUCUUAAGGAGGAAUCUAUGCCUACUUUUGACCUCCAAAUUUCUACAUCCUCAGCUGUGACUUCACACAGCAUGCACAACUUCACCACCCUUGGAAUCAGAUUGGGCUGCAAUCCAUGAUGUCUUUUUCAACUCUGAGAAUAUUGCAUGACCCGCAUUCCUCCUAUGGAGGGGAUAUAGGGGAGAGGAAACAUGGCCGUGAGUCUACAUCGGAAAGCAGGUGACAUUACAUCACAAUCAAAUAUUAACAACACACACAAAAUUGGAAGGGAUGUAGAGAAGCAGCCCAUGCGAUACCUUUUGACAAGAAAGCAAAGCUGUCUCACAUGCUAUGCCUCACCCCUGCACAAGUCCAGUGAUCUCUCAGCAGCCAGAAUCAUGCCAUUUGCUUACCACCAGCUACACGGACAAUAUCAACAUUUAACUGUGUGCCUAGAGCUCCAAGUCAUGCUUUAGGAGAUGGGAGGCAGUGGGUAGAUCCUGGGUAAACAAGCAGUGUCUACUGUAGAGUCACAUUUCCUCAUGCAAAGACCAACAAAACAAGAGUUAAUUCCUGCUCAAUAGCUUCUUCAACUCUAGCUUGGAGAGCAACAUGACCUAUCACGAUGCAAUAAGAUACGCAGGAGAAAGGCACUUAAUUUU